rnacentral:rRNA from 1 species
UACGGAGGGGGCAAGCGUUAUUCGGAUUUAUUGGGCGUAAAGGGCGCGCAGGCGGCUCAGCAAGUCUGAUGUGAAAUCUCCCAGCUCACCUGGGAGGGGCCAUUGGAAACUGCUGAGCUUGAGGUCCGGAGAGGCCGGCGGAAUUCCCGGUGUAGCGGUGGAAUGCGUAGAUAUCGGGAAGAACACCAGUGGCGAAGGCGGCCGGCUGGACGGCACCUGACGCUGAGGCGCGAAAGUGCGGGGAGCAAACGGG